UGACCUUUGACCUCAAAUCAGGUAGGGUUACCCGCUGAACUUAAGCAUAUCAAUAAGCGGAGGAAAAGAAACUAACAAGGAUUCCCCUAGUAACUGCGAGUGAAGCGGGAAAAGCUCAAAUUUAAAAUCUGGCGGUCUUUGGCCGUCCGAGUUGUAGUCUGGAGAAGUGCUUUCCGCGCUGGACCGUGUACAAGUCUCUUGGAACAGAGCGUCAUAGAGGGUGAGAAUCCCGUCUUUGACACGGACUUACCAGUGCUUUGUGAUGCGCUCUCAAAGAGUCGAGUUGUUUGGGAAUGCAGCUCAAAAUGGGUGGUAAAUUCCAUCUAAAGCUAAAUAUUGGCGAGAGACCGAUAGCGAACAAGUACCGUGAGGGAAAGAUGAAAAGCACUUUGGAAAGAGAGUUAAACAGUACGUGAAAUUGCUGAAAGGGAAACGCUUGAAGUCAGUCGCGUUGGCCAGGACUCAGCCUUGCUUUUUUUGCUUGGUGCACUUUCUGGUUGACGGGCCAGCAUCGAUUUUGACCGCUGGAAAAAGGUUGGGGGAAUGUGGCACCUUCGGGUGUGUUAUAGCCCUCAGUCACAUACGGUGGUUGGGAUCGAGGACCGCAGCACGCCUUAUGCCGGGGUUCACCGACGUCGGCUAGGAUGCGGAAGGUCAGACGAAAUGCGGUCC
rnacentral:rRNA from 2 species